rnacentral:rRNA from 1 species
CGGACGGGUGAGUAACGCGUGGAAAACCUGCCGUAUACUGGGGGAUAACACUUAGAAAUAGGUGCUAAUACCGCAUAAGCGCACAGCUUCGCAUGAAGUGGUGUGAAAAACUCUGGUGGUAUACGAUGGUUCCGCGUCUGAUUAGCUUGUUGGUGGGGUAAUGGCUCACCAAGGCGACGAUCAGUAGCCGGCCUGAGAGGGUGGACGGCCACAUUGGGACUGAGACACGGCCCAAACUCCUACGGAAGGCAGCAG